AUCUUUUGCUGAAGAUCUCUGCCUACCUGAGGUCUUCCAAAGCUGUGGCUGGGCAUCGGAGGAUCUGGUGCUAAUCAUGCUGGAAACAAAGGAUGACUGGAGAACAAUACCACAAAACUUCUUUAUAACUGAUAGAGUGGAAAAGGAAUUUCCUGAAGUCAGUAUCUACAGUUAUGUUCAAAUCUAAUCUGUGGGCAAGGAGGAAGCAUGCUAUUCAUACAGCAAUGAUAUUCCUAAGCAUGUAUGAAGAACAUGUCCUUCAUCAGAAGGUAAUAAUCGAUAUCAGUAAAGGAACAAACAACCUAAGGUAUUUCUGUGGUCCAGAAUGUCUUUCCACUCUACCUCAGCACCCUACCUUGAACAUCUCUGCACAUCUGGGAAAUCUCAUACCCAUGUGAUAGCAGGGAAACAGAAAAGAAGCACUUACCAAAAGGCCUAAAUACUUCAGAGUCAACAGCAACUGUGGAGUUCUCUAUACAGCCUUUGCUUGAAAUACUUGAAACUAGAAAGGUAUGAGAAGAUAUUCCUGGAAAACACUGUAUUUUCUUUGUAGAACCCAUGGAAAGAACAUCAAGUGGAAAUCCAUGUGGAGAGAAUUACCUGCAUAUCUGUUCUAUUGAAAUGUUUCUAACAAAACCAAAAGGCUGCAGCCAAAUGCCUGCACCAAGUGUGGAAUUCUGGUUUCCUAUAGUGCAUUUGCCACAUCUGAACUGUUUAUUUUGAACUGGGCAAUAAUUAGCUGACUAUAUCUGAAAGAUACAGAUUUUUAUAGUUCUAAGUGGUUACUGUUGUUUUCAAUGUUAAAGAAUGGCUAUUCUGCUGCUUCUUACUUUUCUAAGCUUAAAAUUCUUCUAGCUGUUUACCUUUCUUCUUGCUAAAUUAUAAAUAUGACAUGUUAUGUUACAGAGUACAGAUUUCAUCCUUUCUUUUCUGUGCACUUU
rnacentral:lncRNA from 1 species